AACAUGUCUUCAAAGAGGUAGAAACACUUUACAUCCCUAUCCUACUUUCUAAAUAAAGCCGUUCACAAACCAUCACGGGUUUGGAACAGUGAGCUGCACUUACAAGCGAGUGAAGAGGUUUGGUGUUGAAACUUCUGGACAUUUGAAGAAAGAGAGUGAGGACACCAGACUGCAGGGAACUCACGCGACAGAACGUCCUUCAUCGGUUGUAUGGACUGAUAUACUCCUAGGAUUCCACUUACUCUCCGAACCAAUGCAGACACAGUGGAUAAGAGAAGACAGCAGGAAAAAGGCUGGUGUAUCCCGGUGUGUGCAACAUGCAUCGGUCCCCUAAAGAAGUGCACGCUGAUUCACCCACAGCGCAUUCACCGAAGAAGAAAAAAAAAAGAGGAAACCCUCCUGCAAUGAGAGACCAACAUGUUUUCCCCAAGCUUUGCUGCUUUUGGAAAAAAUCAACAACAAC